rnacentral:misc_RNA from 1 species
UAAAUGUUCAGCAGUUUGCCAAAUAUAUGCGUGAGAAUACCAGAUUGGAGAUCACAUGAGGAGCAUGUGCGUGGUGACGUGGUGCCAAGACCACUAAAUGGUGACCAUCACAUGGGAGGCCAUGUGUAGCGCCCAAAUGGAAUUUGUGUGCAUGGGGCAUGCAUGCAACGUGAAUACCCAAAGGGACCAGAAAUGAAUUAUGCAAUCUAUAUGCUCU